rnacentral:rRNA from 1 species
AUUCCCCUAGUAACUGCGAGUGAAGCGGGAAAAGCUCAAAUUUAAAAUCUGGCAGUCUUUGAUUGUCCGAGUUGUAAUCUAGAGAAGCAUUAUCCGCGCUGGACCGUGUACAAGUCUCCUGGAAUGGAGCGUCAUAGAGGGUGAGAAUCCCGUCUUUGACACGGACUGCCAGGGCUUUGUGAUGUGCUCUCAAAGAGUCGAGUUGUUUGGGAAUGCAGCUCAAAAUGGGUGGUAAAUUCCAUCUAAAGCUAAAUAUUGGCGAGAGACCGAUAGCGAACAAGUACCGUGAGGGAAAGAUGAAAAGAACUUUGGAAAGAGAGUUAAACAGUACGUGAAAUUGCUGAAAGGGAAACGCUUGAAGUCAGUCGCGUUGGCCGGGAAUCAACCUUGCUUUUGCUGGGCGUACUUCCUGGUUAACGGGUCAGCAUCAAUUUUGACCGUUGGAUAAAGUUGUUGGGAAUGUGGCAUCUUCGGAUGUGUUAUAGCCCAGUUUCGUAUACAACGGUUGGGAUUGAGGAACUCAGCACGCCGCAAGGCCGGGUUUUUAACCACGUUCGUGCUUAGGAUGCUGGCAUAAUGGCUUUAAUCGACCCGUCUUGAAACACGGACCAAGGAGUCUAACAUGCCUGCGAGUGUUUGGGUGGAAAACCCGAGCGCGUAAUGAAAGUGAAAGUUGAGAUCCCUGUCGUGGGGAGCAUCGACGCCCGGACUUGAACUUUUGUGACGGAUCCGCGGUAGAGCAUGUAUGUUGGGACCCGAAAGAUGGUGAACUAUGCCUGAAUAGGGUGAAGCCAGAGGAAACUCUGGUGGAGGCUCGUAGCGAUUCUGACGUGCAAAUCGAUCGUCAAAUUUGGGUAUAGGGGCGAAAGACUAAUCGAACCAUCUAGUAGCUGGUUCCUGCCGAG